CCUACGGGGGGCAGCAGUGGGGAAUUUUGCACAAUGGAGGGAACUCUGAUGCAGCGACGCCGCGUGAAGGAUGAAGGUCUUCGGAUUGUAAACUUCUGUCCUUGGAGAAGAUAAUGACGGUAUCCAAGGAGGAAGCCCCGGCUAACUACGUGCCAGCAGCCGCGGUAAUACGUAGGGGGCGAGCGUUGUCCGGAAUUAUUGGGCGUAAAGGGUCCGUAGGCGGUUAUGUAAGUCUAAAGUAAAAGGCAUUGGCUUAACCAAUGUAAGCUUAAGAAACUGUAUAACUUGAGUGAUGGAGGGGACAGUGGAAUUCCUAGUGUAGCGGUGAAAUGCGUAGAUAUUAGGAGGAAUACCAGUGGCGAAGGCGACUGUCUGGCCAUAAACUGACGCUAAGGGACGAAAGCGUGGGGAGCAAACAGGAUUAGAUACCCGUGUAGUC
rnacentral:rRNA from 2 species